UGUUGCGGGGAAACAGGACUGUUACUUUGAAAAAAUUAAAGUGUUUAAAGCAGGCCCGCGCCUGAAUACCUUAACAUGGAAUAAUGAAAUAGGACGUUCGAACCUAUUUUGUUGGUUUCUAGGAUUGACGUAAUGAUUAAUAGGGAUAGUUGGGGGCAUUAAUAUUCAAUUGUCAGAGGUGAAAUUCUUGGAUUUAUUGAAGACUAACUACUGCGAAAGCAUUUGCCAAGGAUGUUUUCAUUAAUCAAGAACAAAAGUUAGGGGAUCGAAAACAAUCAAAUACCGUCGUAGUCUUAACCAUAACCUAUCCCAAGAAGGGAUCGAAUGAUU
rnacentral:rRNA from 1 species